GGGUGCGUAACGCGUAUGCAACCUACCUUUAACAGGGGCAUAACACUGAGAAAUUGGUACUAAUUCCCCAUAACAUUCGAGAAGGCAUCUUCUUGGGUUAAAAACUCCGGUGGUUAAAGAUGGGCAUGCGUUGUAUUAGCUAGUUGGUGAGGUAACGGCUCACCAAGGCAACGAUACAUAGGGGGACUGAGAGGUUAACCCCCCACACUGGUACUGAGACACGGACCAAACUCCUACGGGAGGCAGCAGUGAGGAAUAUUGGUCAAUGGACGCAAGUCUGAACCAGCCAUGCCGCGUGCAGGAAGACGGCUCUAUGAGUUGUAAACUGCUUUUGUACUAGGGUAAACGCUUCUACGUGUAGGAGCCUGAAAGUAUAGUACGAAUAAGGAUCGGCUAACUCCGUGCCAGCAGCCGCGGUAAUACGGAGGAUUCAAGCGUUAUCCGGAUUUAUUGGGUUUAAAGGGUGCGUAGGCGGUUUGAUAAGUUAGAGGUGAAAUUUCGGGGCUCAACCCUGAACGUGCCUCUAAUACUGUUGAGCUAGAGAGUAGUUGCGGUAGGCGGAAUGUAUGGUGUAGCGGUGAAAUGCUUAGAGAUCAUACAGAACACCGAUUGCGAAGGCAGCUUACCAAACUAUAUCUGACGUUGAGGCACGAAAGCGUGGGGAGCAAACAGGAUUAGAUACCCUGGUAGUCCACGCAGUAAACGAUGAUAACUCGUUGUCGGCGAUACACAGUCGGUGACUAAGCGAAAGCGAUAAGUUAUCCACCUGGGGAGUACGUUCGCAAGAAUGAAACUCAAAGGAAUUGACGGGGGCCCGCACAAGCGGAGGAACAUGUGGUUUAAUUCGAUGAUACGCGAGGAACCUUACCCGGGCUUGAAAGUUAGUGACGAUUCUGGAAACAGGAUUUCCCUUCGGGGCACGAAACUAGGUGCUGCAUGGUUGUCGUCAGCUCGUGCCGUGAGGUGUCGGGUUAAGUCCCAUAACGAGCGCAACCCCUACCGUUAGUUGCCAUCAGGUCAAGCUGGGCACUCUGGCGGGACUGCCGGUGAUAAGCCGAGAGGAAGGUGGGGAUGACGUCAAAUCAGCACGGCCCUUACG
rnacentral:rRNA from 1 species